rnacentral:rRNA from 1 species
UCCGGAGGAUGCAAGCGUUAUCCGGAAUUAUUGGGCGUAAAGCGUCCGUAGGUGGUUGAGUAAGUCUGCUGUUAAAGCGUGGAGCUUAACUCCAUAUCGGCAGUGGAAACUACUUGACUUGAGUGCGGUAGGGGUCAGGGGAAUUCCCAGUUUAGCGGUGAAAUGCGUAGAUAUUGGGAAGAACACCGGUGGCGAAAGCGCCUGACUGGGCCUGCACUGACACUGAUGGACGAAAGCUAGGGGAGAGAAAGGG